CAUUCAGCCCGCAGCUUAUUGCGCGUUGCUUUUUUUUAGGGUCCCUUGGCCCCGUAAUGCCAGAUAUUGCACCACAGGAGCUAUUCAGCUGACUUAGGGUGUCUUAAUUCAACUGGAACGAACAGGGGUUUACCCUGUGGGCCCAGAACCUAGCCAUCUACAUCUGGAGAGGGGUUGAGGGGGUGUAGUUGACAAUGUACUUUCAGUAGAAGGGAAGUGUGAGGGAGCCG